rnacentral:rRNA from 1 species
UGGGGAAUUUUGGACAAUGGGCGCAAGCCUGAUCCAGCCAUGCCGCGUGCGGGAAGAAGGCCUUCGGGUUGUAAACCGCUUUUGUCAGGGAAGAAAUCUUCUGAGUUAAUACCUCGGGAGGAUGACGGUACCUGAAGAAUAAGCACCGGCUAACUACGUGCCAGCAGCCGCGGUAAUACGUAGGGUGCAAGCGUUAAUCGGAAUUACUGGGCGUAAAGCGUGCGCAGGCGGUUUUGUAAGACAGAGGUGAAAUCCCCGGGCUCAACCUGGGAACUGCCUUUGUGACUGCAAGGCUUGAGUGCGGCAGAGGGGGAUGGAAUUCCGCGUGUAGCAGUGAAAUGCGUAGAUAUGCGGAGGAACACCGAUGGCGAAGGCAAUCCCCUGGGCCUGCACUGACGCUCAUGCACGAAAGCGUGGGGAGCAAAACGGGAUUAGAUACCCUGGUAGUCCACGCCCUAAACGAUGUCAACU